GGGUAUAUAGCUCAGUGUUAGAGCGUGUGCUUAGCAUGCACAAGGUCCUGGUUUCCAUCCCCAGUGCCUCUG
rnacentral:tRNA from 1 species